AAAAAUUAAAAAUAAAAGUCUCAAUAAAGCUGUAUUAUGCAUAGGAAUUUAAGCACUUUGCACAUAUAGUAUCUAUUCUGGUUUUGCUGUAGGAGCUCUUCAAACCAGAUUGAUGGCAGGAUGGACUACAGCUUCCAGGAUGGAGAUGCCAUACAACCAAUCAGCUUCCUAAAUGAGCUACGUCUGCCAACCACUACAACAGUUCUUCCAGAAACAACAACUGGUUUCUCCGUGACCCUUUCAAAUCUCAUAUCUGGUACAGCAGUGGUCACAAGCAAGCUGGUGUUCAACUCCUCAUCUCCAGUCCCCAGUGAAGCUCUGGUCCUCAGCGCUAUCAACACUCUCCGUCAUUCCAGAGAUUCACAGCUGAAUGAAUCAGUGAAGGUGGUGAAUGUCACCUAUGAGAAAAUUUCGGAAUCUUCCUAUGCUGUCAUUUUUAAAUUUAAUAUGAGUGACAUUAGUAUGCCAAUGGACUCUGGACUCAGAAACAACAUCUACCUGCAAGUACAGGAUACUAUCAAUAAAGCGAUAAACACUCUUCUGAAUGAACCUAGUAGUCCAGCUUUACAACCCAACUCAUCCAACUUUAAGAGUCCAUUAAAUCAGAUUGAGGGCAGUAUGGAGUACAACUUCCAAGAUGCAGAUGUUAGAAAACCAGUCAGGUUCCUACAGGCGCUUAGUUCAUUGACAGUCUUAACAACAGCCAGUACUCUGGCAUCAAGCUCAGCUUCUCCACCAACAUUGUUGGGGAAGGCUUAUAUAAAAAUCCAAUUGGAGUUUCACACACUGGGUCCAAAACCUAGUAAGGAUUACAUUCUAAACUUGGCCAACUCUAAGCUCAACCCACGUUACAGAACUAAAGAAGACGCAACACCAACCCAGGUUACUAGCCUUGUGGGUAUUACCUAUACAGGACUUAAUGAUACCUCAUAUUCUCUCACAUUUGAAUUUGAAAUCAGUAAUGUACUCAUGUCUGAGAAACGUGAACUAAGGAAUGAAACCAAAACUUCAAUCAAAAGCACUAUAAAUACAUUGCUUGUCGACAUCCUAAAUGAUCCCUCAGCUUCUCAGUUUGAUCUGCAAAACGUUGAAUUCAAUGAUAGUAGCACAGUGAUUCUGGCCAGUGUGCAGUAUGUUUUCUCACAAAGUGACUUGAACACAAACAGCACCUUUGUCAAGGAAAUAUUCAGUGCUAAGGAAGUCUUAACGACAGCCAGUGCUCUGACAACAAGCACAACUUCUCCGCCAACAUUGCUUGGGAAGGUGAUCAUAUACAUCCGCCUUGUUUUUAAAACACGGGGUACUAUCCCAAGUGAGAGUAACGUUGUAAAUGUGGCUAACACCCUGUUGAGUGGAAUGAAACUGAGAAUUAAACGAUCCCUCACAACAAAACUUCCGACUGAGAAUGUGAACUUUGUGAAUGUCACCUAUACAAAAAUUGAUGAUAACUCCUUCUCUCUGAACUUUGGAUUUGAAAUCAGCAAUGUGUCCAUGUCUGAAAAAGUUGAAUUCAGGAAUGAGACCUACACAGAGAUCCAGAAAUAUAUAAAUUCAUUUGUGUCCACGAUCCUGAAUAAAACAACAACUACUAACUUUAAUUUCAAUGAAAUCGUUUUCAAGGGAAACUCCACCGUGAUUGAGGCCAACGUAGAGUAUGUUUUCACAGACAGUGACAUCGGCAGCUUCGGCUUGGUCUUUACUUUUCUUGGACCUACUACAACAGCCGCUCCAACCACCUAUUACCCCACAGUCCUGACCACUGCAAUCUUAAACAAUAGUACAAACGCAGCAUGGGUUGUGGCUAUCAUUGUCCCCUGCGCUAUUGUCAUUGGGCUCGUACCUUGCUGGAUUCUCCUUUGCUGUUUGCUGUGUGGUUGCUGUGGAGCAAUCAGGAGACGUUGGCACAGAAGACGGUCAUACAAUGUACAGUACACAACUCGAAACAGCAUCUUCUAGAGAUUUUCAAGAACAGACUUUGAUGCUUAAAAUAUUAAUUUUCCUGUAUUGCUGGGCAUACAGAACCUCUCUAAAUGUGAUGCAACUGUGAUUUAAAAAACAACAACUUCUAUUUAAGGAAUGAUUUUAUUUAUUUAAAAAACUGUUAUGUAAAGUAAUGAGAAUCUUGUUUUCUAAAUGAAAGAUUAAUUUGGUAGUAUGUAUUUAAUGUUAUGGGAAAAAUAUAAAAUGUGUUGAUCACUUCUUUAUUCAAACUUAAUGUACUUUAUCUAAUAUAACAUAUUGCACUCUGAUGACAUAUUUAUGUAUGAAUCCACAAUUCAUCUUUUAAGACUGUAGUUAAAAACUAUAAUUUAAUAAAACAAUUCAAUAUCAAUAUGAGAACA
ensembl:lncRNA